rnacentral:tRNA from 1 species
AAGGAAGUGACAGAGUGGUUAUGUGGCUGGCUUGAAACCUGCAUAGGGGGGUUCAAUUCCUUCCUAUCUUA